GUUUGAAUUAUAUUUAUCAGACAUUUCGAUAGUUUAAAUAUGUAAAUGUCGUUAUUUAUCAUCAUGUGUAUACAUUUGUCCUCCACAUUUUUGUGGAACAGUUACAUUUCAAUAUCGGCAUUUUGAUUGGUGGUACAAUUAAAAAAAGGAGCACGAAUGGAUAGGUUGACAUCAUCCAUGGUCACACUACCUAGGACAUACGAAAUGGCAAAAAAAUAACAUAACCCACACCAGUAUCUACAGCAGGAGUUGUGUAAAUUAAUUAAUAACAUUUCUCUGUCUGUUCUGUAUGUUUGCAAUGCAUCUGUUCAGCCAUUUAUGCCAUCACCAGCCACCAGCCAAUCACAUCACAUCACACCAGAGCUACUUGUUACGGUGCGUGAAUGAGGACCCAAAAGCGAAUUAACUUAAACAGAGCUUCUUUAAUUACCAAACAUAGGUAGGCUCAGACGGACCGGCAGAUUCCGACAGGACAAGACAAGGUUACAGCAAACAUGACGACAGUCUGGUUCAGGCAUGAAACACAACAAACAAGAAUCCGACAAGGACAGGAACAAAAACAGAGAGAGAUAUAGGGGACUAAUCAGAGGGAAAAGGGGAACAGGUGGGAGAAGGGGUGACGAGGUAGUCAAGAGGAGACAAGGAACAGCUGGGGGAAAGCGGGGGAGAAAAGGUAACCUAACAACGACCAGCAGAGGGAGACAGGGUGAAGGGAAAGCGGGGGAGAAAAGGUAACCUAACAACGACCAGCAGAGGGAGACAGGGUGAAGGGAAAGGACAGAGACAAGACACAACAUGACAGUACAUGACACUACUUCUCGUCAUUCAAACUUCCCACCAGUUCAUUUCCAACACUGCAGCCUACCUUUAUACUCUGCUUUUCUCCUCUAUUAUUAAAAAAAAAUUGCUCAAAAUAAGUGUCCAAACUAUACUGCUAUUCCUGUGACUUGCAUUGUGCUAUAGGCUACUCGUUCAGCUAUUAAGGAUAGAGGGAGCAGAGGAGAAG
rnacentral:lncRNA from 13 species